rnacentral:rRNA from 1 species
AUUGAACGCUGGCGGAAUGCUUUACACAUGCAAGUCGAGCGGCAGCACGGGGGCAACCCUGGUGGCGAGCGGCGAACGGGUGAGUAAUACAUCGGAACAUGCCCAGUCGUGGGGGAUAACACUUCGAAAGAAGUGCUAAUACCGCAUACGUCCUGAGGGAGAAAGCGGGGGAUCUUCGGACCUCGCGCGAUUGGAGUGGCCGAUGUCAGAUUAGCUAGUUGGUGGGGUAAAGGCCUACCAAGGCAACGAUCUGUAGCUGGUCUGAGAGGAUGAUCAGCCACACUGGGACUGAGACACGGCCCAGACUCCUACGGGAGGCAGCAGUGGGGAAUUUUGGACAAUGGGGGCAACCCUGAUCCAGCCAUUCCGCGUGAGUGAAGAAGGCCUUCGGGUUGUAAAGCUCUUUCGGCAGGAACGAAACGGCGAGCUCUAACAUAGCUUGCUAAUGACGGUACCUGAAGAAGAAGCACCGGCUAACUACGUGCCAGCAGCCGCAGUAAUAC